UGGGGAAUAUUGCACAAUGGGUGCAAGCCUGAUGCAGCCAUGCCGCGUGUAUGAAGAAGGCCUUCGGGUUGUAAAGUACUUUCAGCGGGGAGGAAGGGAGUAAAGUUAAUACCUUUGCUCAUUGACGUUACCCGCAGAAGAAGCACCGGCUAACUCCGUGCCAGCAGCCGCGGUAAUACGGAGGGUGCAAGCGUUAAUCGGAAUUACUGGGCGUAAAGCGCACGCAGGCGGUUUGUUAAGUCAGAUGUGAAAUCCCCGGGCUCAACCUGGGAACUGCAUCUGAUACUGGCAAGCUUGAGUCUCGUAGAGGGGGGUAGAAUUCCAGGUGUAGCGGUGAAAUGCGUAGAGAUCUGGAGGAAUACCGGUGGCGAAGGCGGCCCCCUGGACAAAGACUGACGCUCAGGUGCGAAAGCGUGGGGAGCAAACAGG
rnacentral:rRNA from 1 species